rnacentral:lncRNA from 1 species
CACAGGCUGGAAAUGUGAUACUAUCGAUUGCCCCAUCACAGGUUGGAAAUGUGAUACCAUCGAUUGCCCCGUCACAGGCUGGAAAUGUGAUACUAUCGAUUGCCCCGUCACGGGCCGGAAACGUGACCGGGAUGUAGCCCAAAGUCGGAAAGAUAAUUGAUCCGGAUCAAGUUAAUAUAGAAUGGAAAGAAAAAGCAUUGAAAACAUUAAUGAAGAUUUAUGAGCUAUCGUAUGCUAUAUCAUUUUUGUGUGGUUGAACUUUCAUUGAUAUUUGAUGUACAUACUUAUGUUG